UACGUAGGGGCCUAGCGUUGUCCGGAUUUAUUGGGCGUAAAGAGCUCGUAGGCGGGAUGGCAAGUCGGUCGUGAAAUCCCUCGGCUCAACCGAGGAACGUCGAUCGAUACUGCUGUUCUUGAGGAUUGCAGAGGAGACUGGAAUUCCCGGUGUAGCGGUGAAAUGUGUAGAGAUCGGGAGGAACACCGGUGGCGAAGGCGGGUCUCUGGGCAAUUCCUGACGCUGAGGCGCGAAAGCGUGGGGAGCAAACGGG
rnacentral:rRNA from 1 species